rnacentral:rRNA from 1 species
GACGAACGCUGGCGGCGUGCUUAACACAUGCAAGUCGAACGGAAAGGCCCCCACCUUGGUGGGGGUGCUCGAGUGGCGAACGGGUGAGUAACACGUGGGUGAUCUGCCCUGUACUUCGGGAUAAGCUUGGGAAACUGGGUCUAAUACCGGAUAGGACCAUGGUUUAGUGUCUCAUGGUGGAAAGAUUAUUGUUUUGGUGCAGGAUGAGCUCGCGGCCUAUCAGCUUGUUGGUGGGGUAAUGGCCUACCAAGGCGUCGACGGGUAGCCGGCCUGAGAGGGUGGACGGCCACAUUGGGACUGAGAUACGGCCCAGACUCCUACGGGAGGCAGCAGUGGGGAAUAUUGCACAAUGGGCGCAAGCCUGAUGCAGCGACGCCGCGUGGGGGAUGACGGCCUUCGGGUUGUAAACUCCUUUCGUUAGGGACGAAGCCACACUUUUUUUGGGUGUGGU